rnacentral:rRNA from 1 species
AAAUUGAAGAGUUUGAUCAUGGCUCAGAUUGAACGCUGGCGGCAGGCCUAACACAUGCAAGUCGAACGGUAACAGGAAACAGCUUGCUGUUUCGCUGACGAGUGGCGGACGGGUGAGUAAUGUCUGGGAAACUGCCUGAUGGAGGGGGAUAACUACUGGAAACGGUAGCUAAUACCGCAUAACGUCGCAAGACCAAAGAGGGGGACCCUCGGGCCUCUUGCCAUCGGA